rnacentral:rRNA from 1 species
UAGUUGGUAAGGUAACGGCUUACCAAAGGCAAUGAUGCAUAGCCGAGUUGAGAGACUGAUCGGCCACAUUGGGACUGAGACACGGUCCCAAACUCUACGGGAGGCAGCAGUAGGGAAUCUUCCACAAUGGACGCAAGUCUGAUGGAGCAACGCCGCGUGAGUGAAGAAGGUUUUCGGAUCGUAAAGCUCUGUUGUUGGUGAAGAAGGAUAGAGGUAGUAACUGUCCUUUAUUUGACGGUAAUCAACCAGAAAGUCACGGCUAACUACGUGCCAGCAGCCGCGGUAAUACGUAGGUGGCAAGCGUUGUCCGGAUUUAUUGGGCGUAAAGCGAGCGCAGGCGGUUGUAUAAGUCUGAUGUGAAAGCCCUCGGCUUAACCGAGGAAUUGCAUCGGAAACUGUUUUUCUUGAGUGCAGAAGAGGAGAGUGGAACUCCAUGUGUAGCGGUGGAAUGCGUAGAUAUAUGGAAGAACACCAGUGGCGAAGGCGGCUCUCUGGUCUGCAACUGACGCUGAGGCUCGAAAGCAUGGGUAGCGAACAGGAUUAGAUACCCUGGUAGUCCAUGCCGUAAACGAUGAGUGCUAGGUGUUGGGAGGUUUCCGCCUUUCAGUGCCGCAGCUAACGCAUUAAGCACUCCGCCUGGGGAGUACGACCGCAAGGUUGAAACUCAAAGGAAUUGACGGGGGCCCGCACAAGCGGUGGAGCAUGUGGUUUAAUUCGAAGCAACGCGAAGAACCUUACCAGGUCUUGACAUCUAGUGCCAUCCUAAGAGAUUGGGAGUUCCCUUCGGGGACGCUAAGACAGGUGGUGCAUGGCGUCGUCAG